AGAAUGAACGUUGGCGGCGUGGAUUAGGCAUGCAAGUCGUACGGGCCGCAAGGCCAGUGGCGUAAGGGUGAGUAAGGCGACGGUAACCAACCCCAUGAUUGGGUAUAGCCGCGGGAAACUGCGGGUAAUCCCCAGCGACGUCCGCGGGAGACAUCUCCUGCGGACCAAAGCUCCGGCGUCGUGGGACGGGCUGUCGUGGUAUUAGGUUGUUGGCGGGGUAACGGCCCACCAAGCCUGCGAUGCCUACCGGGCGUGCGAGCGUGGCCCGGCACACUGGGACUGAGACACUGCCCAGACUCCUACGGGAGGCUGCAGUCGAGAAUCUUCGGCAAUGGGCGCAAGCCUGACCGAGCGACGCCGCGUGGAGGACGAAGGCCUUCGGGUUGUAAACUCCUGUCGAGGGGGAAGAAGGCCCUGAAAGGGCUUGACUGAUCCCUGGAGGAAGCACGGGCUAAGUUCGUGCCAGCAGCCGC
rnacentral:rRNA from 1 species